CAGUAGCCGCGGUAAUACGUAGGGUGCGAGCGUUAAUCGGAAUUACUGGGCGUAAAGCGUGCGCAGGCGGUUCGUUAAGACAGAUGUGAAAUCCCCGGGCUUAACCUGGGAACUGCAUUUGUGACUGGCGAGCUAGAGUAUGGCAGAGGGGGGUAGAAUUCCACGUGUAGCAGUGAAAUGCGUAGAGAUGUGGAGGAAUACCGAUGGCGAAGGCAGCCCCCUGGGCCAAUACUGACGCUCAUGCACGAAAGCGCGGGGAGCAAACAGGAUUAGAUACCCCAGUAGUCCCUGUCUCUUAUAC
rnacentral:rRNA from 1 species